rnacentral:rRNA from 1 species
UUCGCUGACGAGUGGCGGACGGGUGAGUAAUGUCUGGGAAACUGCCUGAUGGAGGGGGAUAACUACUGGAAACGGUAGCUAAUACCGCAUAAUGUCGCAAGACCAAAGAGGGGGACCUUCGGGCCUCUUGCCAUCGGAUGUGCCCAGAUGGGAUUAGCUUGUUGGUGGGGUAACGGCUCACCAAGGCGACGAUCCCUAGCUGGUCUGAGAGGAUGACCAGCCACACUGGAACUGAGACACGGUCCAGACUCCUACGGGAGGCAGCAGUGGGGAAUAUUGCACAAUGGGCGCAAGCCUGAUGCAGCCAUGCCGCGUGUAUGAAGAAGGCCUUCGGGUUGUAAAGUACUUUCAGCGGGGAGGAAGGGAGUAAAGUUAAUACCUUUGCUCAUUGACGUUAUCCGCAGAAGAAGCACCGGCUAACUCCGUGCCAGCAGCCGCGGUAAUACGGAGGGUGCAAGCGUUAAUCGGAAUUACUGGGCGUAAAGCGCACGCAGGCGGUUUGUUAAGUCAGAUGUGAAAUCCCCGGGCUCAACCUGGGAACUGCAUCUGAUACUGGCAAGCUUGAGUCUCGUAGAGGGGGGUAGAAUUCCAGGUGUAGCGGUGAAAUGCGUAGAGAUCUGGAGGAAUACCGGUGGCGAAGGCGGCCCCCUGGACGAAGACUGACGCUCAGGUGCGAAAGCGUGGGGAGCAAACAGGAUUAGAUACCCUGGUAGUCCACGCCGUAAACGAUGUCGACUUGGAGGUUGUGCCCUUGAGGCGUGGCUUCCGGAGCUAACGCGUUAAGUCGACCGCCUGGGGAGUACGGCCGCAAGGUUAAAACUCAAAUGAAUUGACGGGGGCCCGCACAAGCGGUGGAGCAUGUGGUUUAAUUCGAUGCAACGCGAAGAACCUUACCUGGUCUUGACAUCCACGGAAGUUUUCAGAGAUGAGAAUGUGCCUUCGGGAACCGUGAGACAGGUGCUGCAUGGCUGUCGUCAGCUCGUGUUGUGAAAUGUUGGGUUAAGUCCCGCAACGAGCGCAACCCUUAUCCUUUGUUGCCAGCGGUCCGGCCGGGAACUCAAAGGAGACUGCCAGUGAUAAACUGGAGGAAGGUGGGGAUGACGUCAAGUCAUCAUGGCCCUUACGACCAGGGCUACACACGUGCUACAAUGGCGCAUACAAAGAGAAGCGACCUCGCGAGAGCAAGCGGACCUCAUAAAGUGCGUCGUAGUCCGGAUUGGAGUCUGCAACUCGACUCCAUGAAGUCGGAAUCGCUAGUAAUCGUGGAUCAGAAUGCCACGGUGAAUACGUUCCCGGGCCUUGUACACACCGCCCGUCACACCAUGGGAGUGGGUUGCAAAAGAAGUAGGUAGCUUAACCUUCGGGAGGGCGCUUACCACUUUGUGAUUCAUGACUGGGGUGAAGUCGUAACAAGGUAACCGUAGGGGAACCUGCGGUUG